rfam:Sugiyamaella lignohabitans strain CBS 10342 chromosome B, complete sequence.
GCCCUUUUGGCCAAGUGGUAAGGCACCUCACUCGUACGAUCUCGUCAUGAGGCGAUCGUCGGUUCAAACCCGACAAAGGGCA